AUCACUUCUUGGCCUUUUGGUUAAGAUCAAGUGUAGUAUCUACAAAAUUAUGUGUUCUGCAUUAAAUCUAUUUCCCUUGCAAAAUCCU
rnacentral:snRNA from 1 species